ensembl:snRNA U6 U6 spliceosomal RNA
GUACUCCCCUCAGCAGCAUAUAUACUAAAAUUGGAACAAUACAGAGACUAGCAUGGCCCUUGUGCAGGGAUGACGUGCAAAAAGACUGACAUCACCAAGCAUUGG